UACGGAGGGGGCUAGCGUUGUUCGGAAUUACUGGGCGUAAAGCGCGCGUAGGCGGACCUGUAAGUCGGGGGUGAAAGCCCGAGGCUCAACCUCGGAACUGCCUUCGAUACUGCGGGUCUUGAGUCCGAGAGAGGUGAGUGGAAUUCCUAGUGUAGAGGUGAAAUUCGUAGAUAUUAGGAAGAACACCAGUGGCGAAGGCGGCUCACUGGCUCGGUACUGACGCUGAGGCGCGAAAGCGUGGGGAGCAAACAGG
rnacentral:rRNA from 1 species